GUAGAUUCUAGUACCCGCUAAAGAACUAAAGUAAUUCUUUGAAUUAGAGGUAGAGACUACCAAUUCGUAAAAUAGUGAGAAAACUUUUAGACUAAAAUCUAUGUCUUUAGACUUAAUUAGUUCAUAUACUAAUUAGAUUUUGAUUUUUUUUUUACGCAAAUAUGGCCUCAAACUUUUCACUCCGAUCACUAUUGGACAGUGAUAAG
rnacentral:lncRNA from 1 species